UCCCUGUGAUCAGCCUGCAGUAUCACAGCCAGGCCGCUGGGCAGUAGUGUCGCGCUGUAGUAACGUUACCCAUUCCUGAGAAGAAGACAACGACUCACUUCCGGUUGUUUUGUUCCAGAGCGGAGGCGAGCUGCGCCAGCUAGCAGGAUGGCGGCGAAUAUAAAACCAGCACCACCUUAUUUAAAAGCCGACGUGUGGGAACACUUUGGUUUUAAAAAGAAAACAGGGAGCAAGGAUUUGGACAAAAGCGAUGCGAUUUGCAAGCUGUGUAACACCUCAAUAAAGUAUUCCGGAAACACUACCAACCUGCGGUCUCACUUGAAACAGCACCACUCAGAGAAGCUAACAGCAGAAGAAGCUAAAAAGCCUCGCGAUCCAAAGCAGACCACACUGGACAACAACGAAGGCGGUAGUAUUACUAGUUAGAAGUUUCCAUCUGGCAGUCCACGUUCACUGAAGAUUACCGAGUCAACUGCGUAUUUCAUUUGCCAAGAUUUGUGCCGGUUCAGUGUAAUGUUAGUGGAAAACUCCGGAUUCAGACGGAUGGUAAACUCACUGGAGCCCCGCUAGGCAACUCCCACUCGGGAACACAGAACGAAAGUAUGCAACCCCAGGCUGUACGAAGAGCUAAAGUCAAGUGUAAAAGUCUUUGAUGGGCUGAUCGCAGAGGCUGCGGCAAGGCAGAGGGUGCAGUUCUCACAGCAGCGUUUUGCCCAUGAGGGUGCAGCAGAUUCUAGCCAUGAUGAUGAUGAGGGGAUGGCGCUCAAAGAAGAGGCUGAAGGUGAUGGAGAAUUUGGCAAUGAUGAAGAGAAGAGCAAUCAAGGUCCUCCAUCCAGGAAAUCAAGGAGGUUGUCUUGUCCGCUGGCUGCCUUUCUUUGUGAACGAUACAGUGCAUCAAGGAGGGACGGAGGGGAAGAAGGAAGGAAGGGGUCAGUUUGAUCCGGGAGGACAACAGGAGUGUUAUUUUCAUUUGUUCGUUGUGUUGUAUGUUUAAUAUUCUCACUUUAAGUGGUCACAGGUCCGUGUGACGCUAACUACCUCAGUGUGUGCUUGAAAUUACUACUGAGAGGUAUGCACUUUAUUUUCUUGAUCUCUUAUUUUCUUGAUCUUGAUCUCUUGAUGCACUUGGCCUUGGCUCUUGUUUCAACAAAUGCUAGUUUUCACUUUUCAGUUAGUGACAGACCGUGACUCGUACAGGCCAGGUUAGCCUACUACAGUACAGUAGUAGUAUACAAAUGCAGCACUUCAAUUCAACAUUGUCAGUUGUAGGCUGCAAACAAAAAAAACCUGUCAUGUUUUUUGAAAAGCAUUUAUGCACGUAUGCCUUUAAUGCACUGUUUCAACAAUAAAUUCAUAUUUUUUUACCCACAUCUUUGAUUCAGUUUGUCAUGUUACUGAGCUUGAGUUAUCUAUAUAGUGUAAUUGAGCCAUUCACUUUUCUGUCUAAUCUUGAACACUUAAAAUCUUACAGUAAAUGAUGUGUGUGUAUCGCGAUACGUAUCGAAUUGUAUCAUAUCGUAUUGUAUCGUGACCUGUGUAUCAGGAUACAUAUCAUAUCGUGACCCGUGUACCGUGUAUCGUAUCAUAUCGUGAAAUCCAAGACGAUAUACAGCCCUAGUUUUAUCAAGCAAUAGCUACUCCAGACUCUGCUCUAGUGUAAUUUUCGGGACAAUCAGGGUAGGAUUCAGGAUUUGGGACAACUGCUUGGAUUUCGGGACUGUCCCGAAUUUUUCGGGACGUCUGGUCACCCUAGUUCUAUUGCUCUUUCAUUACACCCCAUUAAAUUGGUAGAAGUGUCUCCCCAAAUUCAGAUGUGUGCCUCUGUGUGGAUGUCAGGGUAAUCGCUGUUAAGUGUAGUUAAGCAUGGUGAUCAUAGCAGUGGAUAUGGGAAAUAUCUAUAUCCCUUUUUUAUGCCUCCGCACUGGCAAUAGCUGUUGCCAGAGGCAUUAUGUUUUUUCGAGUUGUCUGUUUGUUCAUACAUACAUCUGUCCCAUCCUUGUGAACAGGAUAUCUCAAGAAUGCCUCGAGGAGAUUUCCUCAAAUUUGCCACAAAUGUCCAUUUGAACUCAACAAUUAACUGAUUCGUUUUUGGUUGUCAAAGGUCAAAGUUUAGGUCACUGUGACCUUAUCUGUUUCAUACUUGUGAACAUGGUAUCUCAAGAAUGCCUUGAGGCGGGGCGCCGGUGGCUUAGUGGUAGAGCAGGUGCCCCAUGUACAUGGCUGUUGCCGCAGCGGCCCGGGUUCGACUCCAGCCUGUGGCCCUUUGCUGCAUGUCACUCUCUCUCUC